rnacentral:rRNA from 1 species
CCUACGGGUGGCAGCAGUGAGGAAUAUUGGUCAAUGGGCGCGAGCCUGAACCAGCCAAGUAGCGUGAAGGAUGACUGCCCUACGGGUUGUAAACUUCUUUUAUAAAGGAAUAAAGUGCGGCACGUGUGCCUUUUUGUAUGGACUUUAUGAAUAAGGAUCGGCUAACUCCGUGCCAGCAGCCGCGGUAAUCCGGAGGAUCCGGGCGUUAUCCGGAUUUAUGGGGUUUAAAGGGAGCGUAGAUGGGUUGUUAAGUCAGUUGUGAAAGUUUGCGGCUCAACCGUAAAAUUGCAAUUGAUACUGGAAGUCGUGAGUACAGUUGAGGGAGGCGGAAUUCGUGGUGUAGCGGUGAAAUGCUUAGAGAUCACGAAGAACUCCGAUUGCGAAGGCAGCUGACUAAACGGCAACUGACAUUGAUGCUCGAAAGUGUGGGUAUCAAACAGGAUUAGAUACCCCAGUAGU